rnacentral:lncRNA from 1 species
GUGUUGUAUAUAUUAUUUAAGGAUAUUUUUUAUGACAAUAUACAAGUAGAGGUGUUGUAUAUAAUUGCGUGAUUUUUUAGUGUUAAAUAUCUUGUAAGUUUUAAUGUAAGUUUUCAUGUAAAUUUCAUGUAAUAAAUUUGUUUGAGGUGUUUUAUAUAUAAUUUAAUGUAUGGUUUCAUGUGUAUAUUUCAAUCAAUUUCUUUUAUUUCAUGUUUGUUCUAUGAUUUCAUAUUUACACCUUAA